rnacentral:lncRNA from 1 species
AGCUUUCAGUUGCCGCUUCAGAGGGGCAAAGUCCGAAUACUUCUUAGCCAGGAAUUAUAACCCUGAUUGUUCCAGGCUGUUUCUCGGACAUUCACGUGUUUCCCUUAACUGGAGAAGACACCGCGGUGCAGUCGCCUCCCUUCUGGGACUGGAAGAUGAGAUAUUUUAGCGAUAAAGAAUGGCAAUCCAGCCUGAGAUGAGUUUCCCCGCUGUGGUGCAUCUCUUGAAUUUUAAACACAAGCUGUGUUUCUUCAAUCCUCAAGUUUAGUAGAAGUGACUGGCCCCUGAUUCCGAAUGCAUAUGUAUCCAAAGGCAGUAGAAAUGUGUGUGUGACCAAGAGUCAAGUUCUGAGCUUCUAUAAGAGGGAUGAGUGACUAGAAGUGACAAUGAACUCUUCUUCACCAAGGUGCUUCACGGGGCUGCCUUCUGGGAACCUUCAGUUGUGCAUUAGGCAAACAUUACAAAAGCACUGAUAAAAUUCUAAGUAAAAGGCAAGGAAAACCAUUCAUGAUCCCAUCGCCCCAAGAACAGUCAAGCUGUUUGCAGAUUUUCCUCACUCUCUUCUGCUCAGAGCCACGUGAAUAUACAACGUCACUGGCAUAAUUACAGCAGAGAGACAUUUUGCAUCCAUUUAUUCCCCUUGCACAUCAUAUGAGCCCUGAGCCAACUUCUAAGAAGUUUUCUGCCCUAAAGCCACAGUGCUGGAGAGAGAGAGAGAGGAUGUGCCAAGAAUACACAGCCAUAGAGGUGCCCUGGGACGCCACGAGUCCUCCCAGCAUGUACCAUGGACACGAGAGGGAGCUUUCAGAUGAUUCCAUGUUCCAGCCUUGAAGAUGCUCCAGCCAAUACCCAGUGGAACAGGGAUAAGUUGAUCCCACCAAGCUUUACCUCAAAUGCAGAUUCAGGAGCAAAAUAAAUGUUGUUGGUUUAAAUCACUAAGCUCAGGCUGCUUAGUCACACAGUCACCCAGUAAUGAGUGGAACACAUUUAACUUGCAGGUGGGGACUUCUUCAACCCCAUCCAUUUGCAUAUAUUGCAAACAUUUCCCAAAAUGCCUGGGCUUUCAAGUUACCCUUCCCUGGUUCAUAUGAUAUUUUCUUUAAUAUAUUUUUUAUUUCUUAUUCAUAUAAAAAUAUUUUUUUUAUUCUCAUUGCUCAUUUUAUUAAAAUUGUAGGUAAAGAGGAAAA